rnacentral:rRNA from 1 species
GAAUAUUGGUCAAUGGACGCAAGUCUGAACCAGCCAAGUCGCGUGAAGGAUGACGGCCCUACGGGUUGUAAACUUCUUUUAUAAGGGAAUAAAGUUGGUUACGAGUUAACCAUUUGCAAGUACCUUACGAAUAAGGAUCGGCUAACUCCGUGCCAGCAGCCGCGGUAAUACGGAGGAUCCGAGCGUUAUCCGGAUUUAUUGGGUUUAAAGGGUGCGCAGGCGGGAAGAUAAGUCGGCGGUGAAAUUUUGCAGCUCAACUGUAAAAGUGCCUUCGAAACUGUCUUUCUUGAGUAUGGAUGAAGUAGGCGGAAUUUGUGGUGUAGCGGUGAAAUGCUUAGAUAUCACAAGGAACUCCGAUUGCGAAGGCAGCUUACUAAGCCAUAACUGACGCUCAGGCACGAAGGCGUGGGUAUCAAACAG